rnacentral:rRNA from 1 species
CAGUCGCCGCGGGAAUACGUAGGGUGCGAGCGUUAAUCGGAAUUACUGGGCGUAAAGCGUGCGCAGGCGGUUCGUUAAGACAGAUGUGAAAUCCCCGGGCUUAACCUGGGAACUGCAUUUGUGACUGGCGAGCUGGAGUAUGGCAGAGGGGGGUAGAAUUCCACGUGUAGCAGUGAAAUGCGUAGAGAUGUGGAGGAAUACCGAUGGCGAAGGCAGCCCCCUGGGCCAAUACUGACGCUCAUGCACGAAAGCGUGGGGAGCAAACAGGAUUAGAGACCCGCGUAGUCCCUGUCUCUUAUAC